UACGAAGGGGGCUAGCGUUGCUCGGAAUCACUGGGCGUAAAGGGUGCGUAGGCGGGUCUUUAAGUCAGGGGUGAAAUCCUGGAGCUCAACUCCAGAACUGCCUUUGAUACUGAAGAUCUUGAGUUCGGGAGAGGUGAGUGGAACUGCGAGUGUAGAGGUGAAAUUCGUAGAUAUUCGCAAGAACACCAGUGGCGAAGGCGGCUCACUGGCCCGGUACUGACGCUGAGGUGCGAAAGCUAGGGUAGCAAACGGG
rnacentral:rRNA from 1 species